rnacentral:lncRNA from 1 species
ACAAUGUGUCGCGCGCAAGACCCAGCUCCGUAGGUCAAAGGUCCUAAACUCUAACAUCGGCCAUAACUAUUCAUUCAAAGUGCCAUUGGGGCCAUGUGUCAUCCUACGGAGACAGCGUUUGUUUAUCUAAAGAAGAAGAGAUAUGUUAACAAAUGUUGUUGGUCUAUUUGUAUAAUGAAUUUUGUUACAUAAUGUAAGGACUGAUGGUGUCCUGGUGAGGCCCUAGAGACCUUUGAUAUGCUGCUGGUGACCUCUUCAUUAUAUGAGUUGAAUACUGACCUUGAUAUUGGAGCAUAAGAGGUUGCAGGUAGCUAUGUACAAUGGGGACCUCAAAGCAUCGUGAAUUUAGAAAGACCUUAUAUAAUGUGCUGCUGUGUAAUUGUGAGUAAAUGUACAAGAUUUAGGCCCAGAUCCAGGGCUGGAAAGAGGGUGCCCAUGCCCCCCCCCCCCCCCACUCCCCAGUUUGCUGAGAAGUGACCUGUACUCAACAAAGUUGCACCCAAAUAUUUUGGCUAAAGAUAAAUAUUUUCUCAAAAUUUAGACCCAAAAGUGCACCAGAGGCCUCCAUUUCAUGCCUACAUUUCAAAAUUUUCGAGAGGGAGAACACACUGGCCCCCCAAAAAUUAGGAAAGUUCCCCUCCAGUACCUCAAAAUUAAGACCAAAAAAUGCACUAGAGCCCACCAUUUCAUACUUGUAUUUCAAAAUUUUACAGGGGAGCGCACCCCCACCCCCAUAAAAUGACUGGGAUACCUUCUCCCAUGCCUCAAAAUUUAGAUGAAAAGAAUGCACCAGAGCCCACCAUUUCAUACCUCUGUUUCAAAAUUUUCCGAGGGACAGCUCCCUGACCCCUUCCCUAAAAUGACUGGGAUACCUCUUCCCAUACCUAAAAAUUAAGACCAAAAAUGCACCCAGAGCCCACCAUUUCAUACCUGUAUUUCAAAAUUUUCCAGGGGGAUAGCCUCCUGACCCCUCCCCUAAAAUGACUGGGAUACCUCUUCCCAUACCUAAAAAUUAAGACCAAAAAUGCAUCCAGAGCCCACCAUUUCAUACCUGUGUUUCAACAUUUUCCAGGGGGAUAGCCCCCUGACCCCUCCCCUAAAAUGACUGGGAUACCUCUUCCCAUACCUAAAAAUUAAGACCAAAAAUGCACCCAGAGCCCACCAUUUCAUACCUGUAUUUCAAAAUUUUCCAGGGGGGCAACCCCUUGAUCCCCCUAAAAUGAAUGGGAUACCUCUUCCCAUACCUAAAAAUUAAGACCAAAAAUGCAUCCAGAGCCCACCAUUUCAUACCUGUGUUUCAGCAUUUUCCAGGGGAUAGCCCCCUGACCUCUCCCCUAAAAUGACUGGGAUACCUCUUCCCAUACCUAAAAAUUAAGACCAAAAAUGUACCCAGAGCCCACCAUUUCAUACCUGUAUUUCAAAAUUUUCCAAGGGGACAGCCCCCUGACCCCCCUAAAAUGAAUGGGAUACCUCUUCCAAUACCUAAAAAUUAAGACCAAAAAUGCAUCCAGAGCCCACCAUUUCAUACCUGUAUUUCAAAAUUUUCCAAGGGGACAGCCCCCUGACCCCCCUAAAAUGAAUGGGAUACCUCUUCCCAUACCUAAAAAUUAAGACCAAAAAUGCAUCCAGAGCCCACCAUUUCAUGCCUGUGUUUCAACAUUUUCCAGGGGGAUAGCCCCCUGACCCCCCUAAAACGACUGGAAUACCUCCUCUCAUAUCUCAAUAUCUAGACCAAAAAAAUGCACCAGAGCCCCACCAUUUCAUACCUGUAUUUUAAUAUUUUCCAGGGGGAGAGCCCCCCUGACCCCCCUAAAAUGACUGGAAUACCUCCUCCCAUACUUCAAUAUUUAGACCAAAAAAAUGCACCAGAGCCCCACCAUUUCAUACCUGAACUUCAAUAUUUUCCAGGGGACAGCCCCCCGACCCCCCACCCUCACCCCUUAAAGGAGGGGAGUACCCUACAGUACUUCAGAACUUAGACAUUAUAUAAAAAAAAAUUGAGGGAGAGACCCCACUUAUCCCUCCCCCAACUUGGACAGAGGCCCUCCCUUCCAUACCUACCCCCUCUUGGUGCUAUGCACUUCGCUGGUGAGGCGCGCAGGUGAUGCUUUUGUUCUAAAACUGGCAAGCUUGUUCUCGUAAAUUCCUACUAUUUAUCAUCAGAUUUCUACUUUUCUCCUACUUUUUUAUAUCAGAGGCUCCUACUUUUCUCCUACUUUUUCAUCAAAGGUCACUUGAAAGCCUGUAAUGUUCAUAUGUAUGCAUGCCCUUUUAAGUGUGUGUAAAUUAUGCUUACUGAAAAAGAAACAUUUAAAAAAAAUAAAACAUUUAAAGAAUGUAAUUGUUGUUAUUGUUAAAGGGAUUUAGGCAUGUUUUGGAUACAUUUGUUUAGUCUAGGUACCUGCUUUAGAGCACAAUACAGUCAUACCUGUGUUUACAGACCACCUCUGAAUAAAGGCCACUACCACUAACACCUGUUUAUUGAGGUCAUUAUUGUCUCUUCUGUUUUGACCAUAAAUGAAGUAGAUUUACUAGUGUUGUGAGACCACCUGUCAACAAAGACCACGUUUUAGUUCACCUAAGUCAGAAGUGCUCAUGGCAGACUUUUUGGAUCAUUAGAUGUCUGUUGUUUUUCCGUCCCAUCAUCCCUCAUCAUCCACUAUUUCUUUAAGGAAUAUCUCUUCCUAAAUCGCUAUGCCAAUUUCAACCAAAUUCACAGGAAUGUUCCUUUGGUGGUCUCCUUUCAGAUUCCUCCAAGUGUAGAUAAUCAUUACAGAAUUCUUGUUGCCAUGGCAAGCAAAAGGAAAAACUUUUUAAAAAAUUCUCGUCAGAAACUGCUGGCCAGAUUUUGCAAUAAUUUCACAGAAAUGUGUCUUGGGUGACCCUCAACCAAAUUCCUUCAAAUCAUUCUGUUUUGUUAAAAAAACGAUGGCUGCCAGAGGAUUUUUCUGUAACUGCUUACCUGAUUUCAAAAUAAUUUCACAGCAGUAUUCUUUUAGUGAAACUUUACCAAAUUCCUCCAAGUGAUUUUUGUUUGUUAAAAAACAUGGCUUCCAGAGGCAAGAGCUAGUUUUCCUUGUAUAACAAUAUGGAAAACUUAAAAAUCAUCACCUGAAAUUCGCUGGCUUGAUUUCAGAAUAGUUUAAGAGCAUUGCUCCUUGUUCCAAAAUUAUUCACUCCAGCUGUGAAUGUCAAAUGAAAGAUCUAGGCCUAUCAUGGCCCCUUGUGUGGCCCCCUUGUUUCAUUUCAAAGGGUGGUCCUUACAGACAGUUUUGACUGAGUAUUGUUGAGAUAAUUUUGAAACAUAGUCCUGUAUUGCUGCUUGGAAAAUAUGUCUGGUUGAUCUAUACUAUAAAUAGUAAAGACCCAAGUCUGAUAGCUGGACAAUUUGAAUGAUACAACUUUUGAAAGAGAAAAUGUCUGAAGUUAUUAUUUUCCAGCUCUUAUCUAUUUGCAGGAGUAAGUUAGUUACUUGUAUUGAACAGGUUCAGUGGGUACUGAAUCUAGACUUUGUGUCUGAAGUAAUUUGGCCUCCACCCCUGAUUCAUGUGGAGAAGUUGGCAGAUACUUGUGGAGAACAAGUUAGUAUUGCUACAGAACAUUGAGUAAAAGGGGGAAAAAUGCCUUUUCAUAAAUAGAAUACUAGCACUGUUUAAAAGACGUUAAGCCCAUAACCAACAAACUACUUGAGAAGUAAUCUUCAUGUCUAAUAUUCAUCUACUGAAAGUGUUUAUUAAAACUCUAGAACAUUGUUUUAGAGUUUUAGGAUAUCUUCUUAAUUUUUUGUCAAUGGAAUGUACUAGCACACUGUUCUGCUUUGGCACCAAGUCUGAUUGAGAUAAUACAUAGGAUGUUAUUUUCUAAUGUAACAUUCUUCAUGUAACUGUUCUCUCUGCACCUGAUUUAUUUAGACCCGAGUUCCCACAUGCUUCAAAAAUUGCAGAACAUUGCUUUGUUUUAUUCCAUUGAAUUAGAGAAUGAGCAGAAUGUUUGAGUGCACAAUAGAAUGUGUGAUAUGUUAUUAAUGUCAUUUUUUAUAAAACUUUGCAUUGGGAAUAUUGUUUCUGUUAAUGUCCCAGGUGUAAAAGGGAACACUGUUUCUUUGUGCCCCCUGUGUUAAAGACCUGUGAACUGUCAAGCCAUCAUUCAGUCUGUCACACUUUCUUAUGUACUCAACUCUGCUUACAGUUUCCAUCUGAUUCAAAUGAAACUUUGUUGACAUCAUCAGUAUCAAGUGAACAUGUGCAUGUUAGUGGGACUUCCUUGUCCAGCUUUUUGUUGUGCCCUCUUUUUGGAAUUAACAUUAUCUGUACCUUGUUUUCUCAACUCAAACUUGGUAUACAUCAUCAACUUGAAAUGGACAUACACAUUGAUGAGACUUCCAUGUUUGAUUUUAUUUCAAGUUAGUCCCUUUUUUGAACUUUAUAAUUUUCUUAAGCAUUUUCUAGGGGCAUGACUAUUGUGUCAUAUAAUGUUGACAGCACUCUUGUUCUUACUAAAACUAUAAAGAGAAAUAUACAAACAACCACUUAGAGAAAAGAAAAUAUAUAUUGCAAUAAUUAUUGUGAAUUUUUGAAUCAUUUAACAAUUUUUACCAUUUUAUUCUUCAUAUUUUUGUACCUUCAUUAUAAAAGGCUGGCAUGCUUAUGUGGUUUCAAAAAUUUGAGCAUAGAUUUCGGAAUACUGCUACAUAUAUUUUGUCUUAAUAAGAACAUGUUUAUCGACAAUUUUUUGUGUGUUGCUGUAUUGUAUCAUAACUAGGAUAUCUUUUUUUCCUUUCUUUGUGCUUGAUUUGUAUUCUGUACAAUGUAUACAUGUGGUAGUCUGUUGAGCUUGUUAAAUUUUGGUGAAUAAAAAGGAAUUAUCAAAUCAUUUGUAUUGAAGAUUGCACUGUUGCAAGGAUUAUUGUGGCAUAUAAAUAAUUUAGUACAAGUUCACUUCAAGGUCAAGCGACUUGCUUCAAGUUACAUAUACAGCAGUUACCAGUUAUGUCCGGUAAAGUUGUAGAAACUGAUCUUGAUGCUGGUGUUUGCAACAACAAGGAAUGGGUAAAGCGUUGGGCAGAGGGUGACACUCCGUUCCACCAGAGCACACAUGAUAGAUUUCUGGAUGAGAGAGAAGAGGAAAUGUUCCAAGGAAGAAAGAAAUCCAUAUUUAUGCCAUUGUGUGGAAAAACUUUUGACAUUUUGUGGUAAA